CUGGGUUCUUGUAAACUGCGACUCACUGAGAGCCUUCCAGAGUUCUGCUGGCACAUGCGCAGAUGCGGCUCCGGGCGUCCUCACCCCCGAGGCGUGGCCUGGCAGUGGGCACAGGAGCGGAUCUCAGACAGGGUCUCGCUAUGUAGUCCAAGCUGGGGCUUGAACUCACUGUGGAGCCCAAACCAGCCUGAAAUUCACUGCAAGCCUCCGCCUCCUGAGGGUUAGGAUUAUAGAAAAUGUGGGCACACAAAGACACCAGGUGUGUUGGAUGCACGAGAAAAGACCCCAUGGAGGGGAGCACUGAGUCAGCCACCUGCAAGCCCAGGGGAGAGGGCUCAGGAGAAACCAACACCGCUGAUACCUUGGCCUUGGAUUUCUGCUGCCAGAACUAUUGGAAUGAGAGAAGCUGAGACAGAAGCAAGUGCUACAAAUAGUACUUUCUUUGCAGAAGACAAUUGGUGUGUGGCAGCGAACACAAUGACAACCUGGCGCCGCCACCUCCCUCCAAGCGCAAGAGGCUGCAGUUCUGCGGGGCACAGCUUUGGCACCGUCAAUGCCGACACCAACACAGUGACAAAAAGAAAUCACCUCAGAGUGUUAUUAUGAAAACAAUUUUUCCAUCUUCCAAUCCAGGAAGACUCACACUUUGAGAGCUGCUGCUUAUUUUAAUAGGAACCCAGUUCCUCAAGGAUAAAGAGAAGACAAGAAUUCCUGACUCAUUGCUGAUCCAGCAGGAGAGACAGUCAGAGACACGAAAAUGCUCUAAGGCUGGAAAGGCCAAUGCUGUGGUCUUCAAAUCCUGGCAUGGAGGAAAAUCACCUGGUGAAUGUCUGCAGAGUCUUGGGCUCCAGCACCAGGGAUCCAACCCUGCAGGUCUGGGGUAGGGGCAGGACUGGUAUGCAGCAGGUGUCCUACUGCAGCUGACUGGGCAGAAUGAUGGCUCCCUCUUGUCCUGUGUGAUGUGCAUCGUUUUCAGAAGACCUCUCCUUAUUUUCCAUCCCUCUUUUCUUUACUUCUUUUUGUUGAGUGUAUCAUUUUGGGUGGGUACAUACGAAGUAUGAUAAAAAAUAU